rnacentral:lncRNA from 1 species
CUCUCUCUCUCUCUCUCUCUCGCUCUCUCUCUCUUUCUAUUAUCUAUCUAUCUAUCUAUCUAUCUAUAUAUCUACUAUUACAUGAUAUAAAAAUCCUUUCUUUGACUGUUCUUUAAAUUUAUGGGUCCAUCAGGCAAUUGCUGCAAGCUAUCUUCUAAGCUGUUAAUGGUUUUGCUAGCCGUUCCUACCAGAAACUAGAUGAAGUUACCAAUAAACAAAAAUUCAUGCAUGGACAAUUCUAGUGAGCUUAAUUUAAAUAUACUAGCACUGACUCUGUUAGAUUUGGAGAGACACUUACCCCAAGCACCAUUGGGUGUGGUUAGCCCUUACCUAAAGUAGAUUAGGAACAAUCUAGUUGUCUAACAUCAGGAACUGGAAGGAUUGGCUACCACUUUUGCAUUUAGACCUUUUUGGCAGUAAGGUUCACAUGGUUUUGGGCUCGGAUUGUGACAUCCCUAGUUUGGGUUUCUUCACCUGGUUUGGGGCACAGAUUGUGGCACACCUGGUUUGAACUUCUACUCACAGUCACCAACAUGGUGACCGAGCAUAAACACACGCUAGUUCUUGCGAGAAAUUAGAUAUGGCAGCCUUGGAAGAAUUAACUUUAGGCUGUUAACCUUGAGUGGUUUCAUGAUGAAAGCAGUAAAGCUUGAGGAUAUUUGCGGAAGAUAUGAGAGAGGCAAAGGGAACUACAGUAAAUAGUUAAUCAUGCAUUACUCCAAUCUUGCAUCCAGAUUAUGUAGUUUGGUUUAGACUACAAUAGGAGUUACUUUGUGACUCUUGUGCAUCUGGUCCUUGUUAAGUGAACAUUCAAGAGCUUGCUUUCUGUCAUAGGAAUAAAGGUAACCAUCUUAAUAUUCCUUCAUAUUUGUGGGAUCUAAGUAUCGAUGAGGAGUUUGCAUCUCUUAUGUAGGUAAGUUAGAACUGAUCUAAUUCUCGCCUUAUAUUCUGCAGGCAUUAGUGUGUACAAUUAUAAUCCUGAUCACACUCGCCGCCAUUUUUCUCUAGAUCAACCAUUUGUUUGUCACACUGUCAAGUACUGUCCUUUCUGCACAGUGAAGUGAAGAAGAACAUGAAGCUUCAUGGUAAGCUCUGUGAGGGAGAGCAUAAUGAUUGAUAUUUCAGAUUAUAUUUCCUAUUCUACCCCAUGUAACCUUAUUGCAUAUAUGGUUUGAAUACUGCAAUCAUCAUUUGUCGAAUGGGUGAUUGACAAUGUCUCUUGGACAACUAUGUUUAUUGGAUUAUGUUUCGACCUGUACUAACUAUAUGUUCAUUUCAUAUCUAUCUUUGUGAAGAUAGGUACCUUGCUGGUUACUACUAUCUUCCUCUGUGCACAAUGAUUUUGACUUACAAGAUGGAUGCACCGACACAUGCUACCAUUGUCUAUCGUUUGCCACCUGACAUAAUCUGUUGUUUGGUCUGGAGUUCAAUCUUUCAAAUGCUAAUUGUUUAUUUUUUGACUCCCACUUGAUGCAAUUUGUAGUUUUGGUCUAGUUUUGGUGAUAUAUAGUCCAAUCUUUGCAACAGAUAGGCUUGGUAGAGUUCUAAAACAAUAGAUUAAGGAAAAAAAUGGGUUUGGGCUUUCGGAAUGGAGUUACUGCCUACAUUUUGUGAACCUUGGGAUGUUAGUUCUGGCCAUGAGAAGAAAUAAGAUUUUUGAAGUGUAGAUUCCACUGGAAGGCUCCAUGACACUAACAAUAUAUUAUUAGGCAUGUUUCCUAAAGAUUUAUAGAUGUUAUAGUUACAUGAAGUGAGUUGAUUAGUGUUAAUGGAGUGAGAAGAGGGAGCGUCUGGAGUGAAAGACUUAUACUAGAAACAAUAAGAAGGAAUUUAAAUGAUCUUUGAUUGAAUAGAGAGAUUGUCUUGUAUAUAGUUACUGAUGGAGAAGAUCCAUGUAAUCAAACCCAAAUAAUUGAGACAUCAUUGCUUCUUACACUCAUAACAACACAUUCAUUUCUUUUUUCAGAAGCAUGUUAAGCUUAAAGUGGACAUAUAGAUGCUGUGCUUAGAUAAGUUAAUUAGUAUUAGUGGUCCCAGGAAAGAAACAACAGACUUGAGAAUAUUUUUAUUAGAAACAGUAAGAAGUGAUAGGAAGAUCUUUAGUUUUAAGUAGUGAUAUUGUCUUGUACAGAGAUCAAUGAUAGAAAAAUGUUGAUAUGGCUUUGGACUUCAUAUGUUGAGACAUCACAGCCUCUCCUAGAUGAAUUCCUGAGGCCAGGUAAAAAUGUGUUAUCCGUGUGUAUCUUCCAGAAGUGUUAGCUGCACAUUCUGUUAAUGUUGAAUCAUAGCACCUCUCCAAAGUGUGCAAUGCGUCUUUAGUCACUGGGCCAUGUAUUAAUGGAAGGAAAAAAAGUUCAAAUGCAAAAGUUGUGUUAUGCAAGUAGGAUUUUUUUCUUUAUUCGAAGACUGAAUUUUCUUGUUCGAGUAAUGUGCAUUCGGUAAGUUUCAACUAAAUAAAAUUCUGAUAAGGAUUAUUUAGUAAAAUUUUAAGCAAAAUCAGUUUAGCAUAGUGCAUUUUACCUGAUAGAUUUAGGUGAAGAAUGUAUGAACGACAACGAAUCCAUAUGAUUUUACCAAACAAUCAACAAUGUAGCAUUAAUAUAUAUUUCAUGAUCUUGUCAGUAACAAGAUGCGGGUUCGAGGAAGGAAAUAAGAAGAGAAGGUGUUUUUAUUGAAGAUUAGGUCAUCUUGCAUGGAAGGAGUCAAUGUGUUAAUUAGAGUUUUAUUCUUUGUUUGAUUAUUUUUAUUUUUUUUUUAAAUUUAUUUAUAUUACAAAAAAAAAAA